UUAACGAUUGUAUAGCAUUCUGACACCACUGAUCACAGAGUUGGGUCCCCUGGCAGGCGCUCUCCAGCCGGAGCCGGCGCGGGACCGCGGCCUGCCAAAGCAACAGGGAAUGAUACACAGGGUGGUGAGUCCAGCCGCGGGGGCUGGCGUCACUGUAAUGAUCCUUCCGCAGGUUCACCUACGGAAA
rnacentral:misc_RNA from 1 species